GCCCCCGCACCCACCGCCGCACCGACACUCGCGCCCGCUCCGCUGCCGCCAGACAGAGACUCUAACGUCUCUAAAUUUGCUCUGAAAUUCAACAAAGACUAUGACGGCAAAACAAAAUCGCUAAAUAUAAAUUUCGGGGAUUCCCCAUGAAGUUAUAAUAUAACGCAAGGUGAAAUUGGUUAAAGUCGAGGAAUCAAAAUAUCCGAAGUCGUCCCGGGGGAGUAAAUAGUGAUAGGAUUUUAGACCUAAACACCUAAGAGCAACUCACUGAGAGCGGCGAGAUGCGGCGCGAGCGGUAGUUGGUAGUCCUGCGCGAGUGCGCUUCCACGCAACAACCGCUCUACUGCCUGACUCUCUGAUAAGUUAGAUGAUCCUGAAUCUGGCAAAAAGAUCUCUUUAUCAUAUCCAAACCUUGAAUACUAGUCUUAGUCUAGACGUGUAUUGAAAUUUUCAAGAUAAGCUUGCACAGAGACAAGUUCCGAACAACAACAUUUGGACUGUCGGUCUACCGAGCAAUAUCACCUGCUCGCUGGAACAUCUUCCUUUCAUCAGAUACCUACAUACGAAUUUCUGUUAUUUAAUUUUCAUGAAUGUUACGAAAGCUGAACAGCACUCAUUUAUUUAAUUCUCAAUACUGCUUGAGGUACUAGCUUGAUUAGAUCUACAAUAAUUAAACCUACUUGUAUGAGAAA